GACAGGGGGGGCUAGCGUUAUUCAACGUAACUGGGCGUACAGGACACGUAGACACCUUUCGAUAGCUUACUUUUAAAAUCUUUGGUCAGCAAAGCAGGAAGUAAUAGCAGAGAGAUUGAGUUUACUAGGUGAUGGGGGAACUACUGAAGUAGUGGUGCAAUGCGUCGAUAUCAGUAGGAAUGCCGAAGGCGAAGGUGCCCAUCUAGAGUAAACUGACGUUGAGGUGUGAAGGUAUGGGUAGCAAUCGGG
rnacentral:rRNA from 1 species